rnacentral:tRNA from 1 species
GGAGGGUUGGCAGAGCGGUCUAUCGCGCCGGUCUUGAAAACCGGAGGACCUUCGGGUUCCGUGAGUUCAAAUCUCACACCCUCCGCCA